CAGAGUUGCAAAACUCCCAACCAUUGUGAACCUACCUCACCGUUGCUUCGGCGGGUGGCCCCGGGGCAACCCGGAGCCGCGCCGGCCCCGCUCCCGGGGCCCGGCAAAACCCGUCAGAAGACCGAAACUCUUCGUCAUCAGUGGCCUCUCUGAGUAACUUAUACAAUAAGCCAA
rnacentral:misc_RNA from 1 species